GUUUGUUAAGUAUUUAAUGUAUAUCUUUUCAUGUUUUUUGUUGUAAUUAUGAUUUAAAAGAGUGGUGACCAGACGUUCUGCAUGCUGAUUGGUCGAGUUGUUGGGUAAAUACCUGACAUUACUGCAUUCUAUCGACUGCCAUCUUUCCCCAAUGGGCGCACACACAUACAAACAGAAGCACACACAUACACACAUUUUUGUUACUUCUUUCUGUCUCUGGAAAUCAUCUAAAUUAUAGAGUAGGCUAGUAAUUUUGCAGUGCCCCUCUGUAGUGUCUUAUUAACAUGAGAGUGUAUGCCAUCUUCAUCGUGACAUUGUUUUAAAAACACAUGUCAGUCAAAAGGUGAGUACUAGACAAAGUAUUGAGUCCACCAUUCAACUAUCUACAGAUGGUAAUUCAGCCAUUAUUAGGAUGUUAAUGUCAAGUCUAUCCGUGAUCCAACUUCAGUCUCUCUUUAACAAGUUUCUCAGAUGAAUGCUGUCCAAUUCUCAAUGCAAUUCAACCAAGUAUAAUCAUUUAAUUGACCCAAAGACAAACACAAAUAACUAGUUACACAGCAGGGCUGGGCAAACUAAGGCCAGAGGGGCGAAUUAGGCUCACAAUCCGAUUCAAUAUGGCCCAUAGUGGAUUUGAAGAAAACACUUUGUUGGUCUCCCAAAAGGAACCCUAUUCUCUACAGUACACUAUACACAGAAUAUGAUGCCAUUCAGGAGGCCGACAAAGUGUUCCCUUAUCCAGAAUACUGCACAAUGUGUGGCUGGGACUAGUCCUGUGUUUGUACUGUGUGAGUCCUUUAAAUAAUUAAUGACAGAAUUAUAUCACGUAACCAUAGGAUGGCUUGAUGAGGACAUACUGUAGUUUAUAGAAACACUGAGAAAACCCUAUUUAGGCCGAUUCCAGGAUAUUACAUUUCUUUUUUCUAUUAACAAAUGUUCAUCAUAAUUUUCUAGCUCACACAGAAAAAUAUUUAAAAAAACAAACAAGAAAUCAUAUAAAAAAAUGUUUGUUAGAAAUAUUUCCAAAGCUAUUUCCACUGUUACCUGGCGUAUGGGUGAUUCUAUAUUUACUUGUGAUGCAUGUUGUGGUCAUCUGGUUGUAUUUUACACCUUGGUCUGUACAGUGGUUCAUGUUUUGACUGUGUGUGUGUAUGUGGCAGAGUGAAGUGGGGUGAGGUGAUAACCCACAUACAGUACAUAGUGACAUAGUACCCCUAUCCUUCUCACGGCCCCCCCCCCCAUCCCUCCCUCAAUCCUUCUCCUUAUCCCUCCCUCCUUCCCUCAAUAUACAAAAGAUCAGUCUACCACACACACAGACACACACACAGACACACACACAGACACACACACACAGACACACAAUAACGUAUGUCAGCGUGGUAGAGACAUAACUAAACACACACAAGACUGUCCUGUGAGAAAGAGGCCUCGAUAAGGUUGGUGGUGGAUGUUGUGUGUGUGUGUGUGUGUGUGUGUGUAUGUGUGCGUGUGUGUGAGUGCAUGUGCGAGCGCUAGACUGAAGGGAUUUGAGGGUCACGCAAGCAUCCAUUCAUAUAAAUAUGUCACCAAAAAAUGCAACCCAAAUAAAAAACAGCAGGACUUCAUUUUCAUAAACACAGACAUAAACAUUUACUGUAUGUGCAUUAUAAACAUGUCAUAUAUAUAUAUAAAUGUGUGUGUGUCUGUGUACACCGAUCAGCCAUAAUAUGGCAGCUGCUAUGACCACCUUCCUAAAAUCCCUAUUUUGCCACCAAAACAGCCCUGACCCGUCAAGGCAUGGACUCCACUAGACCUCUGAAGUUGUGCUGUGGUAUCUGGCACCAAGAUGUAAGCAACAGAUCUUAUAAGUCCUGUAAGUUACAAAGUGGGGCCUCCAUGGAUUGGACCUUUUUUUUUCUCCAGCACAUCCCACAGAUGCUCGAUUGGAUUGAGACCUUGGGAAUUUGGAGGCCACGUCAACACUUUCAACCCGCUGUUGUAUUCCUCUAACUAUUCCAGAACCAGUUCUGUGACAGGGCGCAUUAUCCUGCUGAAACAGGCCAAUGCCAUCAGGGAAUACCGUUGCCAUGAAAGGGUGCACAUGGUCUGCAACAAUGCUCAGGUAGGUGGUACAUGUCAAAGUAACAUCCACAUGAAUGGCAGGACCCAAGGUUUCCCAGCAGAACAUUGCCCAAAGCAUCACACUGCCUCCACCGGCUUGCCCCCUUCCCAUUGUGCAUCCUGGUGCCAUGUGUUCUCCAGGUAAGCAACGCACAUGUACCCGACCAUCCAUGUGUUGUAAAAGAAAACGUGAUUCAUCAGACCAGGCCACCUUCUUCCAUUGCUCAGUGGUCCAGUUCUGAUGCUCACGUGCCCAUUGUAGGCGCUUUUGGCAUUGGACAGGGGUCAACAUGGGCAUCCCCAAACAUAACAAACUGCAAUGUAUUGUGUGUUCUGACACCUUUCUAUCAGUACCAGCAUUCACUUUUACAGCAAUUCACUUUUACAGCAAUUUGAGCUACAGUAUCUCGUCUGUUGGAUCGGAUCACACGGGCCAGCCUUCACUCCCCACGUGCAUCAAUGAGCCUUGGCCGCCCACGAUCCUGUCGCCGGUUCACCGCUGUUCCUUCCUUGGACAACCUUUGAUAGGUACUGAGCACUGCAGACCGGGAACACCCCACAAGGGCUGCAGUUUUGGACAUGCUCUGAACCAGUUGUCUAGGCGUCACAAUUUGGCCCUUGUCAAAGUCACUCAGAUCCUUACGCUUGCCCAAUUUUUCCUGCUUCUAGCACCUCAUCUUUGAGGACAGAAUGUCCACUUGCUGCCUAAUAUAUCCCACCCACUGACAGGUGCCAUGAAAACGAGAUUAUCAGUGUUAUUCACUUCACCUGUCAGUGGUCAUAAUGUAAUGGCUGAUCAGUGUAUAUGCCCUAUUGCAUUGAAAACACACACAUUCAUAUACACAUACACAAAUACACACACAUACAUACAGACCUGCACAUACACAAACAUUUACUCGGACAUAAAGACAAUUUGCACCUGAAAUGGCAGUCUAUUCCCUUAUAUUGUCUAGUCCCAAUGUAGUGCACUACAGAGAGAAUAGUGUUCCAUUAGGGAAAAAGAAACAGACAUUCUGAAUUAUAAAGUAUAUUGUCUAAGAAGGCAUUGAGGAAAUAUUGCUGAAAU
ensembl:lncRNA